rnacentral:lncRNA from 1 species
CCUGCGCUGCUGCGGGCGUUACGGGGCGGCCGGCCGGCCGGAGCCGCGGAGCCGGGCGGUAUCCAGCCGCUCAGAUCCCGCGACGCUGCGGUUCGCGCUCAGUGCCUGCCCUCUUUAAGUCGUUCUGAACGGCUGGGAAGAAUCGCUCCGAGACGUGAAAUCGCGGCUCCGCGUCGACGCGUGCGUUCUCUCCUUCGGGUGUUGUCCCAUAAAGCGGAGCGCUUCGGUGCGGCGGACGGAGAGCGCCGACACGGCAGCGGGCGUUAUUUACAACCGCCGCUCCACCUCGGCAGAGCUCCGCAGGCACAGCGGCUGAGCCCCUCUGCCCCGCCGGGGAAGGACACGACGCGGCUCUGUCGCAAUCGCAGCGCUGGGGAAAUUCCGCCCUCUUGCAUCACUUCUCGGAACGGCCGCACCGCGCCCGUAUCGCUGCGCGACGCGGCCGGGACUACCGACCCGCAGCUGGCGGGCCAGCCCCGCCCCGGCGGGCAGCUCCGGGAUCUGAUUGGCUCCCUCGGCUUGAUUGACACCGCCCGGUUGUCGUCAGCCGUCCGCCAUGUUGUGCGGGGGAGCCGUGUCCCCGCGUGGCCUCGCAGGUCGCCCCGGGGCUCUGCGACGUCGCCGCGUCCCCUUAGCCGCGGUUUCCCCGGGCUGUGAGGGCAGGAGGAGGGCGCUCAGGUGCAGAAGGCGGAGCCGGGGGCUUUGUGUGGGGACACGGCUCCUCGUCCUGCGGGCAGGGGACCGGUCAGGAGGAGGCAGUGAGGCCGGGUUCCCUCAGGGCGUGGAGCCCUCUCCCAUGGCAGCAGCUCUGAGCCGCCGCCCCGCACCUCACCCAACGGCCCUGGGGCGAGCAGCAGGAGAACAGUGCUCCAGCAGGGAGGCCUUCAGCAAGGCAGGCCCACAGCAGCGCCAGCGGGUCGUGCUGUGUGUGGGCCCUGUCAGCCCGGCGUGCCCAGCACUGGAAGGUUGUUGUUUUCCAUUCGUUGCUGAGGAGGAGCAAACCUGAGGGCUCACAGUGCGCCCAGGCUCUGAGGAGCAGGGCUGAACUGUAGCAUCACCCUUAACUGAGCAAAGAGCCAGCAGUCCUUGCUGCCAGGGCUCCGUGUGCCGAGACAGCUAGGAAGGAGCAUUUGUGGGGAGGUACAAAUCCAAGAUGCUGAUCAAUCGGUUUGAUCGGGGCGGUGUUGCCAGGCUGUGGCAGGAGGGCUGUGUCAAUGAGCUGGAGGUGCAGGAGGCCUGGGCACCAGCAAGGGCAGCAAAGGAGGUGUGGAGCAGCUGGGUGAGGCACUGGGUUCUGUGUCACGGUCAGGGUGAGGCUUUACAAAUAAGGCUUUCAGAGUCCACAGUUCACAGUGCUUGUUUGUCGGUCUUUCCUUCUGUUUGUAUUUGGGGUUUGAGAGCCAGUCUGUAACUAUCACUGAAACAGUGCCUUUUCAGAAGGAUUUAAUUGCCUUUCCCUUUUUUCCCAGUGCUGGGUGGUGCUGCAGUCUGUGGUUCAGCAGGGCUUUGGUUAGCUGGAAGAGUUCUGUUCCCACCCUAUUUCCUGGCCCUUUCACAACUUCCUUCCCCCGAGCCGCAUAUUGCGCAGUCACUGAGAUUUUAGAGACAAUUUUACAUAGAUUUAAGAAGCCCACCACCAACCUGGAGGUUUUCUUUCAGAAACCUCCAACAGCCCUCUUUGGUGCAUUGCACAGCCAGUGAGCACACAGUGCUCGUGCUCAGCAUCUCUGCAAUGGCAAAAGCAAUUUACAGGUCACUGAAAGUACUUCAGAUUAAAGAAAUAAUAAAGGGGAGCUGGGUAAAGAAAUCUCAUGUUUGUAUCAGUUCUCAUUGGGGUGUAUAUUUUUCAAUUCAGUAAAGUUGAGCAAUGUGUUGUCCCCAUAGCUGUUAUGCAAUUGAAAGUCUUAGCAGAGCCACAGAGUUUAAUGGUGGCAUACUUUUGUUUGUUUUAAAAAAAGGAGCAGUUUGCAGCACCUGCUGAUGGUACCUGAUGUCUCCAGGAUGGUACAGUAGAGCUACAUUAGUAAAUCAUAGAAUGUCGUAGGUUGGAAGACACCUUAAAGAUAAUCAAGCUCCAACCCCCUUGCCAUGGGCUGGCAGCCAAAGGCCCCAUCCAGCCUGACUCUGAGCACCCCCAGGGAUGGAGCACCCACUGCUCUCUGGCCUCACCGCUCUCUGAGUGAAGAAUUUCUUCCUAACUUCUGUUAAACCUUUAACGCUUUAUUUUGUAACACCAUCCACAGGAGGUAGAGCCCGUGUUGUCACCUACCCAGAAUCAUACCCAGGUACAGUCUCCAAAGCUGAGCAGUGAACUGCAUUGGCAGAGGAUGGGCAAAGCUGGAAUGAAGGUAACACCAGUUCUCCAAUAAACCUCAUGGGAGAAGAGCUGUAGGGUAUCCAGAAACCUCCAUCCUGGUGGGUAAGCGAACCACCUCCGUCCUGAACAUCCCCUGAGGAUUUUACAGGUUUGUCAGCAAAUGUUUCACUGGAGGAAAUACAAGAGCAGGCUUUUGGCAAAUAGCUGCAAAUUGCAACAUGCAGAUACCUUCACAGAAGGGAUUUGUUUGGAAAAACGAGAAUCUGUGAUGGCAGAAACAUCUGAUUUCCUUUGAGAAUGAGGUCGGUAUAUAAGAAGACAAUUUGACAGGCUAUUAGGCAGUAAAAUGUUUUGACAGUAGGUGAUACCUGAAAGUUUCUGCUGUCAUAUGAAAUAGAUCAGUUUAAGAGAAUGGGGAAUGUUACUGAAUUAAUUUACCCAUUGCAUUCAAAUAAUUUUUCAUUUCAGAGAUUUUGGAUUUUUUAAAAAUCAGAUCUUGCAGGAGAUCAGUUUCUAUUCUUCAAAUUGAAUCUGAUAAACUAACAACAUAUCUGUAAGAAUUAUAGACAGAACCUAUGUUACAGAACCUGACUGCAGAGACACUCGCAGUGUGGAUCACAUACAGGGUUGGCAGUGGUAUGAAAGAGCUUGGCACCAAAGCUGUGGCAAUGCAGUUUACUCAGGCUGGAGAAAUAAAGCUUUACUCUGUCAGAAUAAGACUUAAAGAAGAAUUAGGUAGGUGCUUCUAUAGAAGACUUAUAGAGACUGCAAGUUUGGACUCUAAAUUAACAGUUCAGAGAAACAAGGGUUAUUUGAAAUGGUGGUUACAUUCAACUCUUACUAGUUUUGAAGGAGAAAAGAGGAAUUCAGUAGUUACAUCCUGCAACUUGUACCAUGAAUGACUUGGUACAAAACCAAAGGCGUGAUUAUGAGCACAGCCCGUUGUACAAAUGUUUCUCUGUUUCAUGGUAACCAUUUCUUUACCUUCUAUUCUCGUUUUGUUGGUUUCAGUGCAUUCCUCGUCUCUUGCUGGUGAAGCCACUGCUGGUGUUGAGCUUUAAUGCCUUUAAGUCUGUACCACAAAAACGUCAGUGAGCCUUUCCUACCAUCUGAUCGUGUGCUGGAGAGCAGCAGUUUGGUGCAUUUUCAGAUUGGGCAUCGUGCUUAACGUCCUUUUGAUUCCAGCCUGUCUUCCAGCGCGUUCAAAACUCACACUUGCUUCUCCCAUUGAGUUGCAUCAAGAUAAAACAAGUGGAAUUUAUCAGAUCUUACCAUCACCAGACAACGCCGUGGAGGCAGCAGACAUUCAGAUGCAGAUCGGAGAGAGCGUUUCAUCUGCAUGCAUGUUAUUUGACUGAAGUGAACUGGUUUGAGAACUGGCAUUAAAAUACCAACACUGGCAGUUAAUGCUCCAGCCUUUGAACUGCAGCAGGCAGCUUCAGAGGAAGGGCAGGGCUGGUGGCAGCACCACCACUGCUGUUUGCUCAUACAGCUCUGACUGCUCUCUGUACUCACCAUCCUCCAAGUAAAGACACAGGAGCCAAAUUGGCUCCAAGAAGCAGUUUCUGUUCACCCUGGCUCUGACUCAGCCCCCUCCAAGGGCCAGCAGUGCCACCUACCAGCUCUUGGAGUGGGGAAAUGAGCAACAAGUCUUGGUCUUAUCUGCACCGAGUAAUCACACCAUGCUUUUAGAAAGCAAUAUGCUUCGCAUGUGUGCUGGCACACACAUCUGCCUCAGCUCCAUCCUGGGAACAUUGCUGUCACUGAUAGCAUUUCCAUCUGGAAGUAGGAGAACUGGGAUAACAUCAAAUGGCAGAAAGUGAUAUAGAGCUUGGAGGAGGUGCCCUGAGCUCACAGCACAGCCCUGUGCUUUGGUGAGAGGCUCUUGCACCUGGUGCCAUAGCAGAAGACCUGAGCAGUUCGUUCUUUACACCGCACACCUCUCCAGAGCUGAUCCUCCACGUGCAGAUGUGCUUCUCACAGAUUAACACCACCAACCAGUCUGUAGCUGCAGGCAUGCGAGCAAAAAGGCAAAGGGUCAAAGCUCCAGCCUGGAAUAAAUCACAGUGAGCCACUAACACGCAGUGUGAGCAGAAACGAGCAGCAGGGGAGAUGGAAAAGAACAGGCUGUGUCCUGACAGGCAGACCUCAGCAAGACAGAUUUAGCUCUCGUUCAGCCAGGAGGAUAUUUGUCACUGCAAGGACAGGCCUGCAUUAUUUUUAGUGGAUGCAUCAUGAGUCCGCAGCUUUAAAGGACAGCGAAAGAAAGAUCAGCUUGUCUGGUGAGGGCUUAUCCUGUUCUCUCAGAGCACACACAGCCCUGAGAAGCCGAGGAAUGUGUCAGUACAUACAAGACACCAUGUGCUGCUUCAAGUACAACGCCUGCUUUUAUUGCUGCUAGCUGUGACACUAGCAGUCAGCAAACCCUGACAUCACACGUGCUGUCCUUACCCUGGGCCAUGCGCACAGCAGCGUGCCUGCAGGCUGAGCCCAACGGAGCACUUCCUGAUAAAACACACCGGAGUUUGAAAAAGAUGGUCUUGCUUUCUACCGGUCCACGUGGCCCCAGCUGUGACACGGCACUCAGCCCUGCAGUCACCUUGCUGCACAGCAGGAGAGGUGAUUCCCUCCUAUUGCCGCCAGCACUGUGUGCUGCAGCCACGCAGCAGAGCGAGGCCGUGCUGCUGGGUGCUGUGAGCUCAGGGAGGCUCCGUGCCGCGCUGGGAGCCGCAGAACCACAUCCUGCACGGGGCCUGAGCAAUAUCUGAUAGACUCACUGCGCCAGCUUGCAAACGUCUGGGUGCGAUCAGUGAGCAGCUUUGCCAGGUGUUUCCCCUACAGCCAGAUACAGUCAGCGCUGAGACGCUUCAUCUCACGUAAAUCAAGCGUAUCUGUCACCACUUUGUCCAUUUGCGUAUCGGAAUUGAUGGCUCAGGAAGAGCUGCGUGCCACCAGAGCACCUCCGAGUGCUGUGCCCGUGUUAGGAGGGGCUGCUGUGCGCCCUCCUGACCUGCAGCUGCUUGCUUGCAGUGGGUGCUCCCCUUUCCGAAGGGGCAGUGCGCCACCUAGCGGGCUGGAGCCGCACUGCAGGGGGGGUGCGGUGCUGCGGAGCACGGCCAGCCGAGGGACGGGGAAUUAAAGUGCUAACAUAUGGGCGGGAUGCUUUGUUUUACUGAGAUAACCAUCAGACGUCACCUCUGAUUGAUCGCGAGGUGCUUACAAAUAAAAGGAGCUGCCAACAACAAGCUGUCUGUCCUUGCAGCGCUGAAAAAACUGACCCAAACGCAAGCAGGGUGCACAAUGGGAAUAAGGGAUAGCAAGCAAGGAACUCCCUCCAGAACUAUUAUCCAUCAGCCCACAGGGCUCGCUAGGACAGACAGCAGUGCAGGACCCUGGGCCAGGAGGGUCUCCACGCUCUUUCCCAGAGUUCAAGUGAAAAACACUGAAGAAUGGCUUACAGAAGACAAGCUUUAUUACUGACCUUUUACCCAGCAGGAGGCAGCACUUCGUUACAAAAAAAUAACCCAAACCUCACAAUCAAAACUGGGAACGUUUUGCUGAUUGCCUGUAUCAGCAGCUGUGCAAAGCCUAUCUGCUUUUAGCUUCAAAUGUAAACGUGUUAUCAUUAGGGCUAGAAAAAAGGCUUUUGGACUUCAUUCUGAAGCAGAACAGAACUCAUGCUGGCUCUAUGCUGCCUCAAAUGGCACCAGACUUUUGUUUCGGUGUUACAGUGUAAUCAAUGGAAGUGAUCAGCAUGGUCAAUUAACUUCUUUUAAGCCUCUUUGUGUAUAUUAUUAUGUAUAUAUAUGUAUAAAUGUAUACUUUAUGCAGCUGCUGGUCAGGGUGCCCCAAGCACAGCUCCCCAUUUCAGUACAGCCUCAGUGCCCCCAGCAGCCCCCCUCCACCCAUGGUGGGUUUUCAAAGAGCCCAGGCAGGCCAUGCAGUGGCUCUCCCCAGGUGACCGCCCAGCUUUCAACCAACCAUUCAACCAUUUCAACCAUUCCCAGCCUGGAUCUAACAGCCUUACGUUGAGGGGAGCUUUACCUGUUGGACAUUUCCAGCUUUUAAGCCCACAUUCAGGUUCAUCUUCCAGAAUACCACGUAAGAAAGAGAGCCAACAACCCCAACCUAUUGCCUGUGCUCCAGCUGCAGGUUUGUUAGCCCAGCCAGCUGCAGCUCGUUAGCCAGAUCCCUCCACUGGCUCAGGCACUCACUCCUUGUACCUACCCUGAGUCAGGCUGCUCUUGGAGAGCUGAGAAAGGCUAUUUUGCUCUGUCAUUAACUGGAAAUUUCAGGAAAGUUUUGGCAAAGUCCAUCUGGCCUCCCUGCAGUGCUUUUUUUUUUUUUUUUUUAACCAAGUCAUGAUUUGGGAUGCUGCUAUGAUUAAUGGGGCAUGCAUUGCAUUAGCUCAUGUGUCAGGGCAAAUAAGUGGUGUCCCCAGUGGGCCAUCCCUGGCCUGUCACAUCUCAGCCUGUCUGAGCAGCCUGUUAACAUUCAGCAGGCUGCUGAAACCCGCUGGUGAACAAGGGGCGUUGCUGGCACUUUGGGACUUCCCAUCAAGAUGUGUUUGUUAAUCCAAAUUGGCAGAGCCAAAACAACAGGCACACAGCUGGAUCUAUCCUAAAAUGAAUGGCUCCUGUGGGAAAUGCAUGCACCCGCAGUGCUGGCGUUCUGUGCUGCAGGCCCUUGCUGCACUGCACUGGUGUGUGGGAAUAACAUGAACAUCCAUGGCAGCUCUUCCUUCCUUCCCCUCUCCAUCCUGUAUUUCACAGAAUCACAGAUCCAAAGUUCCAGUUUGUGCCCGUUGCCCCUUGUCCUCUUGCUGGGCAGUGCUGAUAAGAGCCAGGCCCCAUCCACGUGGCUCCUGCUCUUUGUAUAUUAUAAAUACUGAGAAGACCCAUUUCUCAGUCUUCUCCUCCCCAGGCUGAACAGUGCCAGUGCUCUCAGCCUUUCCUCAUCAGGAGGUGCUCCAGGCUUCUCUGCAGCCCUCCAAUGGACUCUCUGCAGCAGUUCCCUGCCUGCCUUGAACUGGGGAGCUCAGAACUGGGCCCAGUGCCCCAGAUGUGGCCACACCAGAGCAGAGCAAAGGGGAGAAGAGCCUCCCUCACCUGCUGGCCACACUCUUUGUAAUGCACGCAGGAUACCAUUGACCUUCUUGGCCACAAGGGCACAUAGCUGGCUCACUGUCAACCAUUGGUCAACCAGGACCCCCAGGUCCUUCUCCACAGAGCUCCUUUCCAACAGCUCAGCCCCCAACCUGUACUGAGGUGUUGUUAUUCCUCCCCAGGUGUAGGACUCCACCCUUGCCCUUGUUGAAGCUCAUCAGAUUCCUCUCCACCAAACUCUCGCACAUGUCCAUGCCUUGCUGAAUGGCCAUACUGGCACAUCAGCCACCCCUGCCAUCCACAUAUCACCAGCAAACCUGCUGAGGGUGAACUCUAUCCCUUCAUCCAGGUCACUGAUGAAGAUACUGAACAAGGCUGGGCCCAGUACCACCCCCUGGGGAGCACUGCUACCUGCAGGCUGCCCAGACUCUGCUCCCUGGGCUCUCCAGCAGCCUGGUGCUGCACACAGGGCUGCAGGCACUGCAUGGCACUGUUCACUGCUCACUGCCAGCGCCCUUGCAGCCAUCCUGCCUGCUGCUGAUGCCUUCUGAAUAUUCACACCUGUCCCAGAGAGCCUCCCCACCAAGUGAACAGCGUGCAGAUGGCUGCCUCCACCAGCAGCUCUGCUGUCACCAGCCCAGUGUUCCCAAAGCAAAUCGAUGACCUCUGCCUGCACAUCAGUCCCAGCGUCCAGGUGCUCGCCUUCAUUAAUCACAGUGCAAUCUCCGAGGUGGGAAGGCAAGGGCUAAACUUUUCAAAGAAUAAAUGAAAAGAGGAGUGGAGUAGAGAAAGUGACAAAUACAGGUCAUGUUGUACAGAUAUUAGAGCUGUAGAUGUAAAGGGAGGGAGCAGUAAAAAUUCAGGAGGCCCUCUAUCUCCUUCAGGAUGAGAGAAAAUACUUGUUUUGUUCCUUUUUUAUCAGGGUUGUGCUCCGUAUGGGUAUUACAGCAGGUGGUUUGGGGCUCUGUGCUGCUCAUUGUGCCUGAAGGAG